rnacentral:rRNA from 1 species
AGAGAGCUUUGCGUCCCAUUAGUUAGUUGGUGAGGUAACGGCUCACCAAGACGAUGAUGGGUAGCCGGCCUGAGAGGGUGAACGGCCACAAGGGGACUGAGACACGGCCCUUACUCCUACGGGAGGCAGCAGUGGGGGAUAUUGGACAAUGGACCAAAGUCUGAUCCAGCAAUUCUGUGUGCACGAUGAAGUUUUUCGGAAUGUAAAGUGCUUUCAGUUGGGAAGAAGAAAGUGACGGUACCAACAGAAGAAGCGACGGCUAAAUACGUGCCAGCAGCCGCGGUAAUACGUAUGUCGCAAGCGUUAUCCGGAUUUAUUGGGCGUAAAGCGCGUCUAGGCGGUUUGGUAAGUCUGAUGUGAAAAUGCGGGGCUCAACUCCGUAUUGCGUUGGAAACUGCCAAACUAGAGUACUGGAGAGGUAGGCGGAACUACAAGUGUAGAGGUGAAAUUCGUAGAUAUUUGUAGGAAUGCCGAUGGGGAAGCCAGCCUACUGGACAGAUACUGACGCUAAAGCGCGAAAGCGUGGGUAGCAAACAGGAUUAGAUACCCGGUGUCCACGCCGUANACGAUGAUUACUA